AAAAGCAUGACAAUUUUGGUCAUUUUUUGAAAAAAAAGGUUAAAAGGAUUUUAGUGUUAACUGAUGCCAGUACGAUUUUUGCAGCAGUGAGCACUCUUUUUUAAAAUGGACAUUACCAGUACGCUUAGGCAUAAAGAUUAGGAGAAGUAUGGGAGUUUCCACUCACAAGAGUGAAAACUCCUUCCUUGUGGGCUGUCCCCAGGUGCGUGUAACAGCAGCUGUGUGCUGCUACCGAGAACUAUCAGUGUCACAACACGCUCUGGUUUGACUUUUUUUUGUUCCCCAAAAUAAGCAUUAAAGAACAAACAAACAGCAGUAUAAGGCCUAAGGGCAGCUCAUCCUGUAAAAUUCAUCCUGUCAUUCGCCUAGAGGUGGAGCCAGUCAUCUGCAGGGCUCAUACACGGAGGAGUGACGUUUUCUGAGUAAUAAAGCAGGAAAAACGAAAGCAUCUCAGUCAGGUAUUUGCCUGAAUAAUGGCUGGAUGAUACCUGUGCAAUAGCCACAGGAGAACUUUUGGGAAGGAGACUGGGAUGGAGGGGGGAAGGAAGAAUCCUUGCACAAACAAAACCAAUGUAUAAAGAGGAAGAGAAGGAGACCAGCUCCGCUGCAGACUAAUGCCUUCCAUACCAAGCUCUCCUAAUGAUUAGUCCUGCAAAUUGCUUUUAAGCUUUAGGCAGCACUUCUCUUGCUGUUUCAAAAAUAGGUCUUUUUAGGACGUUUUGAUCAGGUAAUAGGAAAGCUGACUGCAUCACAUCUUUCACUCGCUUUCACAUCUAAGACUUUCUGAAAAACAAUCUGGGCACCUCAUACCCAGCUGGCAGAGCCAUCAGGAUGCAGCAGCAGCAGGACUGGCACCUAUCUUUGUUUCAUGUUAGGUCGUGACUCUUAAAUUCUCUGUUCCUGGUAUUUUCUCUGGAAGCAGAAAAACAGUAUCCAUGGUUCCCCCUGCUGGAUUGUAACGCAUGCAUUCACCGGGUCUGUUUUAAACUGGAUCAUUUUCCGUAACUAAGAAGACAGGAAAUGCAGAGAACUGGUAUGAUUAAACCAGAGCAAGAGCAAGUCACGUCCAAAAAAAUUCCUUAAAAAGGCAAAAAUUAACCACCCUGGAAAAACAACAAGAGAGGAAUAUGAAAGAAGGCUGCUCUGUCACCAGUUUUGCAUUGCUAUUCCCAUUCUCUGUACUGGAACAUCAUUUGUUCAGCAGGUGACAGAGACCCUCCUGAGACUUCCGUGCUCUAUUUGAUGGACAACACGGCCAGGUCUGGACUCUUCCUGCUUUCCAAACCCGGUGCAACUUGUACCAGCAGUACUUGGAAGCCCAGAAGAAAGAACCAGAGCUCAUAAAAUCAGCAUCAAUGUCAGACUGCCCAACACAAGACAGGGCAAAGGUGCUAUCAGGUCAGCCAGUAACUCAGCUUCUUCCUCGUGGAACAGAGUCCUUAGGUCAGGAGCAAGGGAGACCUGGACUCCCAACAGACUUCCCUCUAUUUCGUAGAAUCAUAGAACAUUACAUUUGGAAAAGAACUCUAAGAUCCUGUCUAGUCCAAUUGUGUGUGUGCCUGUGUUCCCCUCACCAACACUACCACUACCAUCCUGAGCCAGGAAUAAUUUCUUCCAUUAGAUGAGAGCAAGGACUUUUUGGAGACAAGCUUCAUGUUCUGAGCUGUUAACACCUUGCCUAAGGCAACACCAUGUCUCACAACUCACCCCACUUUGAUCUUCUCUUCAGUUCUUACAGCUUUCCUCUGAAGCACAGGCUGCAUGCCAGGGGUGUAGCCCUGGGGUUUGGUCCCAUAGGAAACACAGUCCCAGGACCUGCCUGCCCAGUGGUACUGCCAGACCACACUGUAAUUGUGCUUUGCCAUGAGUAUCUGGAAACUUUUCUUAAAAGCAAAGCAAUCAAAAAUCACCACUCGGCAAAAAAAAAAAAAAAAUCUGGAAGAGGGCAGAGCAUGAAAUGCAUGCUUUUAAAACAACAUUGAAACUAAGUGCAUGUGUCUGCCCUAGAUCUUGAACAACCACUCUCAGUCCAGGUUUCUACAAAGCAGACUAGUUUGUAACCCAUCGCUCCCUCCUCAACUUUUUUUUCCCAGCAGCUCCUUUGCACUGGCCCAACACCUUUGUUUUCAUGACUGUCUCUAGACUCAGGUUAAAGCAGCCUGUGGAAGGGACAGAGUUUAAGAAACAGACGGGGCCACUUUAUCCUCAAAUUGUUUUAAGGGUAGUAACCAUCCGGAUCCUUCCCAUGUGUGCUUCUUGGUAAACCUGUCAGCAUGCUAACUCAAUGUACACAUACAGACAAGUACAUCUGAGAUGGGAAUUUUGAGAUAUGUCCUUCAAAAUGCUGUUCUCAGAGUAUUUUCAGGGCAGAGAGGGCUGUUGUUUUAGCCUUGCAGCUUCACUAAGCUGAGGGCAUGAGGCUGUACAGCUGUAAGUCCACUGGAAGUGGCCUAGAACUUUCCAUUACAUCAUCUAUGACUUAGAAUCUUAGCGUGCCUAAACCUGACACUUAAAAUGCUAUAUCCACUCCCUAAAGAAAAGGCUGUGUUUCUUGUAGCCAUUUAUAACAUCACAGAAGAUCUUAGAGAGCCUUAACCAAAAGGCAGACUUAAACUUUGCUACAGCAAUUAAAAACCCUGUCCAUUUAUAUAUAUUUAUAUAUAUGUA